rnacentral:rRNA from 1 species
CCUACGGGUGGCUGCAGUGGGGAAUAUUGGACAAUGGGGGGAACCCUGAUCCAGCCAUGCCGCGUGUGUGAAGAAGGCCCUCGGGUUGUAAAGCACUUUCAGUGAGGAAGAACGCCUGGUGGUUAAUACCCAUCAGGAAAGACAUCACUCACAGAAGAAGCACCGGCUAACUCCGUGCCAGCAGCCGCGGUAAUACGGAGGGUGCGAGCGUUAAUCGGAAUUACUGGGCGUAAAGCGCGCGUAGGUGGCUUGAUAAGCCGGGUGUGAAAGCCCCGGGCUCAACCUGGGAACGGCAUCCGGAACUGUCAAGCUAGAGUGCAGGAGAGGAAGGUAGAAUUCCCGGUGUAGCGGUGAAAUGCGUAGAGAUCGGGAGGAAUACCAGUGGCGAAGGCGGCCUUCUGGACUGACACUGACACUGAGGUGCGAAAGCGUGGGUAGCAAACAGGAUUAGAUACCCGGGUAGUC